AAAUUGAAGAGUUUGAUCAUGGCUCAGAUUGAACGCUGGCGGCAGGCCUAACACAUGCAAGUCGAGCGGUAGCACAGAGAGCUUGCUCUCGGGUGACGAGCGGCGGACGGGUGAGUAAUGUCUGGGAAACUGCCUGAUGGAGGGGGAUAACUACUGGAAACGGUAGCUAAUACCGCAUAACGUCGCAAGACCAAAGUGGGGGACCUUCGGGCCUCAUGCCAUCAGAUGUGCCCAGAUGGGAUUAGCUAGUAGGUGGGGUAACGGCUCACCUAGGCGACGAUCCCUAGCUGGUCUGAGAGGAUGACCAGCCACACUGGAACUGAGACACGGUCCAGACUCCUACGGGAGGCAGCAGUGGGGAAUAUUGCACAAUGGGCGCAAGCCUGAUGCAGCCAUGCCGCGUGUAUGAAGAAGGCCUUCGGGUUGUAAAGUACUUUCAGCGGGGAGGAAGGCGAUAAGGUUAAUAACCUUGUCGAUUGACGUUACCCGCAGAAGAAGCACCGGCUAACUCCGUGCCAGCAGCCGCGGUAAUACGGAGGGUGCAAGCGUUAAUCGGAAUUACUGGGCGUAAAGCGCACGCAGGCGGUCUGUCAAGUCGGAUGUGAAAUCCCCGGGCUCAACCUGGGAACUGCAUUCGAAACUGGCAGGCUAGAGUCUUGUAGAGGGGGGUAGAAUUCCAGGUGUAGCGGUGAAAUGCGUAGAGAUCUGGAGGAAUACCGGUGGCGAAGGCGGCCCCCUGGACAAAGACUGACGCUCAGGUGCGAAAGCGUGGGGAGCAAACAGGAUUAGAUACCCUGGUAGUCCACGCCGUAAACGAUGUCGAUUUGGAGGUUGUGCCCUUGAGGCGUGGCUUCCGGAGCUAACGCGUUAAAUCGACCGCCUGGGGAGUACGGCCGCAAGGUUAAAACUCAAAUGAAUUGACGGGGGCCCGCACAAGCGGUGGAGCAUGUGGUUUAAUUCGAUGCAACGCGAAGAACCUUACCUGGUCUUGACAUCCACAGAACUUAGCAGAGAUGCUUUGGUGCCUUCGGGAACUGUGAGACAGGUGCUGCAUGGCUGUCGUCAGCUCGUGUUGUGAAAUGUUGGGUUAAGUCCCGCAACGAGCGCAACCCUUAUCCUUUGUUGCCAGCGGUUCGGCCGGGAACUCAAAGGAGACUGCCAGUGAUAAACUGGAGGAAGGUGGGGAUGACGUCAAGUCAUCAUGGCCCUUACGACCAGGGCUACACACGUGCUACAAUGGCAUAUACAAAGAGAAGCGACCUCGCGAGAGCAAGCGGACCUCAUAAAGUAUGUCGUAGUCCGGAUUGGAGUCUGCAACUCGACUCCAUGAAGUCGGAAUCGCUAGUAAUCGUAGAUCAGAAUGCUACGGUGAAUACGUUCCCGGGCCUUGUACACACCGCCCGUCACACCAUGGGAGUGGGUUGCAAAAGAAGUAGGUAGCUUAACCUUCGGGAGGGCGCUUACCACUUUGUGAUUCAUGACUGGGGUGAAGUCGUAACAAGGUAACCGUAGGGGAACCUGCGGUUGGAUCACCUCCUUACCUUAAAGAA
rnacentral:rRNA from 3 species